rnacentral:rRNA from 1 species
CUGAACUAUGCUGUUAUAUCCCUGAUCCCUAAGGUAAAGGGUGCUGAUGUCAUUUCCCAAUUCCGGCCUAUAGCGUUGAUUAACAACUUUGCCAAGUUCCCUUCCAAAGGCUUUGCGAACCGGUUGUCUCCGGUAGCUCACAGAGUUAUUAGUCCCUUCCAGUCUGCUUUUAUCAAAGGGCGUUUUAUUUUAGAUGGUAUUCUCUCCCUUCAUGAGAUUGUUCAUGACCUUCAUGUGCGGAAAUCCAAAGCCAUUAUCCUCAAGCUAGACUUCGAAAAAGCGUAUGACUCGGUUAGCUGGCCUUUUCUCAGGCAGAUUCUUCUUGCCAAAGGGUUCGACGGUGCUUAUGUUCACCGUAUCAUGCAGUUGGUCUCGGGUGGCCACACUGCAGUUGCCGUAAAUGGUGCUAUUAGCAACUUCUUUGCGAAUGGGAGGGGCCUCCGCCAAGGGGAUCCGGCCUCCCCUGUUCUUUUCAACUUUGUGGCUGAUGCCUUC